UACGUAGGGGGCAAGCGUUGUCCGGAAUCAUUGGGCGUAAAGCGCGCGUAGGCGGCUUGGCAAGUCGGCUCUGAAAGCCCGGGGCUCAACCCCGGGAGGCGGGUGGAUACUGUCAAGCUCGAGUCCGGAAGAGGCGAGUGGAAUUCCUGGUGUAGCGGUGAAAUGCGCAGAUAUCAGGAGGAACACCAAUGGCGAAGGCAGCUCGCUGGGACGUGACUGACGCUGAGACGCGAAAGCGUGGGGAGCAAACAGG
rnacentral:rRNA from 1 species